UACGAAGGGGGCUAGCGUUGCUCGGAAUCACUGGGCGUAAAGCGCACGUAGGCGGCUUUUUAAGUCAGGGGUGAAAUCCUGGAGCUCAACUCCAGAACUGCCUUUGAUACUGGGAAUCUCGAGUCCGGGAGAGGUGAGUGGAACUCCGAGUGUAGAGGUGAAAUUCGUAGAUAUUCGGAAGAACACCAGUGGCGAAGGCGGCUCACUGGCCCGGUACUGACGCUGAGGUGCGAAAGCGUGGGGAGCAAACAGG
rnacentral:rRNA from 1 species